rnacentral:lncRNA from 1 species
AAUCUUGUUGGACGCGGCACACCUCAACUUAUUUUCAAAAGGAAUUCAAACUAGAUUUUGGAGUGUCAUAAACUAUUCCUUUUAAUAUGGCACACCUUGCGAUGUAAGUAGUGAAAAUCCGAUUAAUUAAAGGAAAGAAUUAUCAAACACUUUUAGACUAAAGUUUGGACCAAUUCAAAAAUAAUAGACUAACAUUGGAGAGGACGAACGGUGCAGGAGGAUUAUUUAUUAGACAAGAAAAGAGCAUUGGGCUCAAAUGAGUCGCCCUACGGCCGAAAGACAUGGCUUGCAUUUAAUCCAGGACCAAAAUAAGCCCAUGGCCUUUAGAGAAUUAACAAACAGGUGCAAGACCCCAAAACGAGUCUCCAGGCAAGCGUGGACAUUAAAUUAUUUGAAGUUUCAAUGUGAAUCCAAUUUCCUUAACGAGAAGAUUGUCACUGGCAUAUUCAAGUGACCUUGACUGCAUUUGAUGGGCCCAAGGUGAGCCCAACUUCAGAUGUCCAAAGCUACCACAAUCUGAGCUCAAUAUCGAGCCCUUGCAGCGUGCAGACAGGGAUUGAAACAGCAAAAAAUAAUCAUGGAAUUAACACAGAUACAACAUUUUUAAAACACCCUUUAAUGGACCAACGGACAAUUACAAGAAAAUUUUAGCAAUUUCAUUAUUUGGAAACAAUCAAAAGCCACUAACAGUCACCAAAUAAGUAAAAUUAGAAUCUAAAUUGACAUGAAACCCCAUAAGACAAUUCUGCUUUCAUGCUUAACCAUGUUAAUUAAACAAAUUCAGACCAGCCCCUAAAAAUAACACAGACUCUAGAUAGAUAUUAAACAAACAUACUUAGCUUAAGCCUGAACUUCUAUUAUAAUGAUCCCAUGGCUUAUAUGUCAAAACAACCAAUUCAAUAACCUUGCAAGCUAUAUGAUCAAACUUCAAUUCAACUGAAACAAAACUCCAUAUUUGUACAUUCCCAGAAUUAGACUAAUAAGCACACAUGGAUUUUACAAGACAUUGACAACAUAAGAAAGGGCUAUUCUAUUAGGCAGAAUAUAACAUUAUAUCUACAGCAUUACAGAAAUGAAAGAAACGGGAAACAGUUAAGCCCAAAAUACAAUUUGUAUCCAUAGUAUUUCAUACUCAAACAACGAUUUGCAUUUCACAUGUUAUAUAUGGUUCCAAUAGGUACCUGGAAAGUAGAGAAAGUAAGACGAAUGAGGAAAUCAGCAACAGGCAACAUCAGUCAACCCAAAAUCAACAAACCAAGCAAGGAAAUCAGCUUAAAAUCCAAAGGAACAGUAUCUCUUAACAAUGCUUGAAAUAAAACUUUUCAAAACACAAGAUCAAUCCAUUUCAAAUCCCCAGAUGAAUCGGAAUUGCUUUAAAGUUGAAAACCUCAAAAACGAAAAUCAGAAACCAAUAGAACAGUGACCCUUUUUAAUGAAAUUUUUAGCCGUUUUUGAUUUUCUCCAAAUUUAUCUCUUCAGGUCUGACUUGAAAACCAAGGUAAUGUGCCUUUCCAGGCAAGGCACUAGGGUAGCCUCAAAGAACUAAUUUUUGCAUUUUGACCCUUUUUAAUUCUUAUUUUAGCUUAGGUAUCCCUAUUCUAAUUGUCAGAUUUUAAAAAACAGCCCCACCCUACUUCUUGGAAGCUUCCCUUUCAGUUACAAGGAGAUUUCCCUACAUUACCCCCUCACACACCUGCUAUUUAACCUCAGAAAAUUCUAAUCCUAUAACGGGUCAAAUUGACUUAAAUUUACUUAGUGGCUCUAGAUUUUCAAACUCUGGGCCAGACCUUUUCUUUUGAGCCCAGUUUGACUAUAGGUCUUACAGAAGAAAUCAAAAAAAAAAAGAGAAAGAGGAGGUCCGAACCGAAUCAAUAUGCCUUUUGCCCUGGAAGCUUCACAAGCCUAAAUAUCAAAGGCAGACCAAUUUAAACUACAACGUACGCCAAGAAACAAUAAUUAACUAAAAAUAGGAAAAUAUGCAAAAGUUCAAAGUAUCAGAAAAAAAAAAGAAAAAUUAAAACAGACAUAUAAGAAAAGAAACAGAUAAUAAAAGAACUCAAAUGAAAUUCAAACUCAGACGCUAAAAACACCAUACCUAAAAACAACCUAUACCUUCUUGAAUUCAAAUCUUGAACCUUCGACUUUUGACUGAAAUAGGCCUCAAUUGUGUAUUCUCAAGCGAAAACACACAAAUGAAGCCAAUUUCGACCUCAAAUCUUCAAACACUCGACAAUUUGGGUUUUUAGGAUUUAGGGUUCCUAUUUAGAUUUGAUAUUUGAGGAGUUCAGGGUGAUUUGAGGGAAGCUGGCCAUGGAUUAGGGAAGAGGGGGUUGUGGUGGUCAAGAGUUGUUGUUUUGGAGGGGAUUGGGACCGGCACCGCCGGGUUGAAGACGGUGGAGAAAGGGGCGGCAGGUUAGGGUUCGUUGAAAGGUCUGUAAAGAGAGAAUGGGAGGGGGUGAGAGAGACGAUUGAGAGGGG